rnacentral:rRNA from 1 species
AUUGAACGCUGGCGGCAGGCCUAACACAUGCAAGUCGAGCGAGCGGCGGACGGGUGAGUAAUGUCUGGGAAACUGCCCGCUGGAGGGGGAUAACUACUGGAAACGGUAGCUAAUACCGCAUACCAUCAGAUGUGCCCAGAUGGGAUUAGCUAUUAGGUGGGGUAAUGGCUCACCUAGGCGACGAUCCCUAGCUGGUCUGAGAGGAUGAACAGCAACACUGUAACUGAGACACGGUCCAGACUCCGACGUGAGGCAGCAGUGGGGAAUAUUGAACAAUGGGCGCAAGCCUGAUGCAGCCAGGCCGAGUGUGUGAAGAAGGCCUGCGGGUUGUAAAGUACUUUCAGCGAGGAGGCGUUACUCGCAGAAGAAGCACCGGCUAACGCCGUGCCAGCAGCGGCGGUAAUAC